GAUGAACGCUGGCGGCGUGCCUAAUACAUGCAAGUCGAGCGAACAGACGAGGAGCUUGCUCCUCUGACGUUAGCGGCGGACGGGUGAGUAACACGUGGAUAACCUACCUAUAAGACUGGGAUAACUUCGGGAAACCGGAGCUAAUACCGGAUAAUAUAUUGAACCGCAUGGUUCAAUAGUGAAAGACGGUUUUGCUGUCACUUAUAGAUGGAUCCGCGCCGCAUUAGCUAGUUGGUAAGGUAACGGCUUACCAAGGCAACGAUGCGUAGCCGACCUGAGAGGGUGGUCGGCCACCCUGGAACUGAGACACGGUCCAGACUCCUACGGGAGGCCGCAGUAGGGAAUCUUCCGCAGUGGGCGAAAGCUUGACGGAGCAACGCCGCGUGAGUGAUGAAGGUCUUCGGAUCGUAAAACUCUGUUAUUAGGGAAGAACAAAUGUGUAAGUAACUAUGCACGUCUUGACGGUACCUAAUCAGAAAGCCACGGCUAACUACGUG
rnacentral:rRNA from 1 species